ACUAUUUCAGUUACAUUUUUAAUUAACGAUGCCAAGUACUUGUUGUUGUGUACCUGGAUGUCAUUUAAGAGGAGGACAUGCAUUUCCAAAUGACUUAAAAAGAAGGAAAAGUUGGAUCAACGCCAUGGCCCAUACGCAGAUUGGACGAGAACACGAUGUCGAUGAAAUCGAGGAGUCCAUCUCAAUCAGCUGUUGUUUGCAAGGCACGUUUUACUGUAAAAGACUACGUGCAGGAAACUAUUCAUGGGCGCAAACCCACCAUACAGAGACUUAAGUCUACUGCCAUUCCCAGCCUAUUUUCCUGGACCAAGCAAGAGACUGAAUCGUCCGCAAAAAGAAAAAUCAGGGCAGUUUCCUGUGAAAACAAAAGAACUAAACUUGAUGAAUAUUGUAGUAGAAAUCUAGAGGAAAGUUUUGAUUGUAAAGUUGGUUUUCCUGAAGAAGUCAUUCAUACUGCAGAAAGGAUUUAUGACUGUCCACCACCAACUGCCGAGCUAAUGUUGAGCUUCACAGAUGGAAUUACGCAAACACCAUCAAUGCCUAUGUUUUCAGCAGAGAAUUUUGAAAUGAAUACAUGUGACACAGCCAUGCAUUUUUAUACCGGUUUAGAGUUGUAUACUAAAUUUUUAUUUGUUUUGACCACACUUGGUCAAGCAGCACAUUGUUUGAGAUACAUAUAUUUUCAAAUUGAUAGGGUGUCAGUUGAAAAUCAGUUUUUUUAUGACUUUGAUGAAAUUGAGGCAUUAUACAACCAACUUUGAACUGUCUAGAUUCUAGAUUGAAUCUAGUGUUAAUAAUAUUGUGUAUACAUGGAUUGUUUCUAUGUCCAUACAGUGGUGUGAGGCUAACACUUGGCCAUCUAGUGGUUUAGUCAUUUAUUUUUCGCCAUCCAACUUCAAAUUAAAGUUUCCUACGA